UUGAAAAUAACUGAGAUAAAACUUCACCAAAUAUCUUGUUCCCAGUCACACUGUCUCCUGAGCUUGUCUCUUGCUGAAAGCUUUUGCUUCUUGGUCUCAGUUUUGACAUCCCAGUUUUUCAGCAAGCUGGACUUGCUGAGUUCAUCGAUUUUAAUGGAGUUAUUCCAUCCUACCUAGCUGAGAUUACAGCCCAUUAGAUGAUGUGUUCUGCAGAUGGAGAGGAAUAGAAAUGAAGCCAAGAUGCAGUUGAAGCUGGGCCUGGAAUUGCUGGAAGGAGAAGGAUGAAGAAAGGGGAGAUGCCAAGAAGGAAGUAGAGCAGAAAGAGAGAAAGGAAGAUGGGAAGAAGGGAAAUCACUCCUACUGAGUUUCACUGAAUCAAAUACUAAAAGAGUGAAGGAAUAAUAAACAAUCUGUAGCAAAUGGU